rnacentral:rRNA from 1 species
AAAUUGAAGAGUUUGAUCAUGGCUCAGAUUGAACGCUGGCGGCAGGCCUAACACAUGCAAGUCGAACGGUAACAGGAAGCAGCUUGCUGCUUUGCUGACGAGUGGCGGACGGGUGAGUAAUGUCUGGGAAACUGCCUGAUGGAGGGGGAUAACUACUGGAAACGGUGGCUAAUACCGCAUAACGUCGCAAGACCAAAGAGGGGGACCUUCGGGCCUCUUGCCAUCAGAUGUGCCCAGAUGGGAUUAGCUAGUUGGUGAGGUAACGGCUCACCAAGGCGACGAUCCCUAGCUGGUCUGAGAGGAUGACCAGCCACACUGGAACUGAGACACGGUCCAGACUCCUACGGGAGGCAGCAGUGGGGAAUAUUGCACAAUGGGCGCAAGCCUGAUGCAGCCAUGCCGCGUGUAUGAAGAAGGCCUUAGGGUUGUAAAGUACUUUCAGCGGGG